UAACUCCCUUUGCCAGCACAUAUUCUAAAAUUAUAAAGAUACAGAGAAGAUUAGCGUGGUCCCUGAGCAAGGAUGACAGAAAAUUUGUGAAGCAUUCCAUAUUUUU
ensembl:snRNA U6 U6 spliceosomal RNA